UGGAUGGAGAGCCCACAGAUACAGCUGACUAUCUAUAUCAAUUUAUAUCAUGCUAAAAAUGUCCGAUUACGAAUGAAGGUCCACAGAGCUGAAUUAUUAAUAUACAGCUCAUCUCCACUGUGCAAAUUCUAUACCCGUGUGUUCCUGACAUAAAUUCUACGGACAGUAGCAAGCUGGAUUGUCAUACAUUAUCUCUUGGGUACCAACUUGGGAAAUCGGUUGGAGGUCUUACGUCCUUAAAUUAUUUUGUUAAAUAAAGUCUUGCCAUCCACAACCAGAAGAUCGACUACAUUUACAACUCAUUCUUCAUGAAUUGACACAAUUUAUGCUGGAUACAGGAAACAGAUGAAACCGAAAUAGAAAAACAUACAAUGCCUUUUAACAACCAUUACCACGGAAGAAUCGUGAACCUUCAUCGAAUGCAUUUUUGAAUUCGCC